CUUCCUGAGUCGGUGACUCCCACUGCAUAGCUACACAGAAGUUUCCUCUACAAACAGUGUUCACAUUCCUGGUGAAGUUUAAUGCUAUUAAAUGAGUGUUUAGCAGUAUUAGGACUUGUUCGACAGGAUUCCUUAAACACCAAGGUGUGGCAGAGCCAGGGAGUGUCCCCAUGUGCUCCUAUAUUUAAACCCUGCAGACGGUGCUCUCUUCACCGUGUCGACUCAUCUCUCAGGUACUAACUUCAGUAAGGCUGCCUAACAUAUUGACAGAUCAUCUACCCUCUGGAAAUGGAAGAGUGCUUGAACCUAACUGGAUUGGAAAUCUCUCUGGUUUCCAUGUAUGCUGUCUUUGACGGGAACAAAAAUGAAAAUGGAAAAAUGGACAAGGAUACGUUUUUGAGAGUGUUGAAGGAGGAACUGCCUUUCUUUGCGCAAGCGGCAGCUAAGAACAAUUGUGACAUGUUCAGCAAAGUGGACCUUGACAACGACGGGUUCGUGGACUUUGAAGAGUUCUCCAAAAUGGUUUGCGGUUGUGCUUGUUCCAGCCAUGACGCUUUGGAGGAAGCCCACAAAAAACAUGAGCAGAAGAAGGAAUAAAACAAAUGACCAUUUAUGAACAUGGCUAAUACUUUUUCAGUACUUUCUGACAAAUGUGAUUUCACCUUACAAUAAUAAAAGUGUUUUUGUUCCAGUAUUA